CCUCUGAAUUAAUGUUGCUCUCAUGUACGUUAUAGGUUCCCAAGCUGCAGGAAAAACUUUGCAGUUGAUGAUCUGUUUCGUUUAUUUGAGACUCCAUAUUUCUUAUCUUUGUAACCCAUCAGACCAUGGUUGAUUGUGGUUUUUUUUUCUUGUUUGUUCCUUUACGAUCCCUCCGCUUCUCUGUAUCCCUAUCUCGCUCUAUUUUUUAUUCUUCUCCCCUCUCACUCUGUAUAUGUCUGAUUAUUGAAUAAAUGCUGGGUGAUUGUGCCUCCCUUAAACCUCAAAAAUAUACUUCUAUCGUGUUUAGUACUAUUCCUGAAAGACGAGUCCAAUUAAGAAGCCAAAUUUCAGUGUAAGCUGAAAAUUCCUUUAAUUCAGCUGUAUUUGAGUAUGUUUAAUUCAAAUUGGUUGUAAUUGUUUAAGAAUCGAAUGGGGGAGUUUCUAUUCCAGAUUAAACUUGUCUAUCACAAUGGCAAGCCAUAAUCACAAUCCACGGAGGUGAUC
rnacentral:lncRNA from 1 species